rnacentral:rRNA from 1 species
CCUACGGGAGACAGCAGUGAGGAAUAUUGGUCAAUGGCCGGAAGGCUGACCCAGCCAUGCCGCGUGAAGGUCAGUGCCCUAUGGGCGUUAAACUUCUUUUGUGCGGGAGCAAUAAUGGUCACGUGUGGCCAGACGAGAGUACCGUACGAAUAAGCAUCGGCUAACUCCGUGCCAGCAGCCGCGGUAAUACGGGGGAUGCAAGCGUUAUCCGGAUUUAUUGGGUUUAAAGGGUGCGUAGGCUGUGAGGUAAGUCAGCGGUGAAAUGCCCCCGCUCAACGGGGUGAAGUGCCAUUGAUACUGCCGUGCUGGAAUGCGGAUGCCGUGGGAGGAAGGUGUGGUGUAGCGGUGAAAUGCAUAGAUAUCACACAGAACACCGAGUGCGAAGGCAUCUCACGAAUCCGCGAUUGACGCUGAUGCACGAAAGCGUGGGUAUCAAACAGGAUUAGAUACCCCAGUAGUC